rnacentral:rRNA from 1 species
GACGAACGCUGGCGGCGUGCCUAAUACAUGCAAGUAGAACGCUGAAGAGAGGAGCUUGCUCUUCUUGGAAGAGUUGCGAACGGGUGAGUAACGCGUAGGUAACCUGCCUUGUAGCGGGGGAUAACUAUUGGAAACGAUAGCUAAUACCGCAUAACAAUGGGUGACCCAUGUCAUUCAUUUAAAAGGGGCAACUGCUCCACUACAAGAUGGACCUGCGUUGUAUUAGCUAGUAGGUGAGGUAACGGCUCACCUAGGCGACGAUACAUAGCCGACCUGAGAGGGUGAUCGGCCACACUGGGACUGAGACACGGCCCAGACUCCUACGGGAGGCAGCAGUAGGGAAUCUUCGGCAAUGGGGGCAACCCUGACCGAGCAACGCCGCGUGAGUGAAGAGGGUUUUCGGAUCGUAAAGCUCUGUUGUAAGUCAAGAACGAGUGUGAGAGUGGAAAGUUCACACUGUGACGGUAGCUUACCAGAAAGGGACGGCUAACUACGUGCCAGCAGCCGCGGUAAUACGUAGGUCCCGAGCGUUGUCCGGAUUUAUUGGGCGUAAAGCGAGCGCAGGCGGUUUGAUAAGUCUGAAGUUAAAGGCUGUGGCUCAACCAUAGUUCGCUUUGGAAACUGUCAAACUUGAGUGCAGAAGGGGAGAGUGGAAUUCCAUGUGUAGCGGUGAAAUGCGUAGAUAUAUGGAGGAACACCGGUGGCGAAAGCGGCUCUCUGGUCUGUAACUGACGCUGAGGCUCGAAAGCGUGGGGAGCGAACAGG